rnacentral:tRNA from 1 species
GGUGGGAUGGGUGAGUGGCUGAAACCAACAGUUUGCUAAACUGUCGUACGGGUAACUGUACCGAGGGUUCGAAUCCCUCUUCCACCG